CCUACGGGCGGCAGCAGUGGGGAAUAUUGGACAAUGGACCAAGAGUCUGAUCCAGCAAUUCUGUGUGCACGAUGAAGUUUUUCGGAAUGUAAAGUGCUUUCAGUUGGGAAGAAAUAAAUGACGGUACCAACAGAAGAAGUGACGGCUAAAUACGUGCCAGCAGCCGCGGUAAUACGUAUGUCACGAGCGUUAUCCGGAUUUAUUGGGCGUAAAGCGCGUCUAGGUGGUUAUAUAAGUCUGAUGUGAAAAUGCAGGGCUCAACUCUGUAUUGCGUUGGAAACUGUAUAACGAGAGUACUGGAGAGGUAAGCGGAACUACGAGUGUAGAGGUGAAAUUCGUAGAGAUUUGUAGGAAUGCCGAUGGGGAAGCCAGCUUACUGGACAGAUACUGACGCUGAAGCGCGAAAGCGUGGGUAGCAAACAGGAUUAGAGACCCCAGUAGUC
rnacentral:rRNA from 1 species